UACCAGCACCCCGAGUGGUCGGGACGAUUAUUGGGCCUAAAGCAUCCGUAGCCGGUUCUGCAAGUCUUCCGUUAAAUCCACCUGCUUAACAGAUGGGCUGCGGAAGAUACUAUAGAGCUAGGAGGCGGGAGAGGCAAGCGGUACUCGAUGGGUAGGGGUAAAAUCCGUUGAUCCAUUGAAGACCACCAGUGGCGAAGGCGGCUUGCCAGAACGCGCUCGACGGUGAGGGAUGAAAGCUGGGGGAGCAAACCGG
rnacentral:rRNA from 1 species